rnacentral:rRNA from 1 species
AGCGUACACGGUGGAUGCCCUGGCAGUCAGAGGCGAUGAAGGACGUGCUAAUCUGCGAUAAGCGUCGGUAAGGUGAUAUGAACCGUUAUAACCGGCGAUUUCCGAAUGGGGAAACCCAGUGUGAUUCGUCACACUAUCAUUAACUGAAUCCAUAGGUUAAUGAGGCGAACCGGGGGAACUGAAACAUCUAAGUACCCCGAGGAAAAGAAAUCAACCGAGAUUCCCCCAGUAGCGGCGAGCGAACGGGGAGCAGCCCAGAGCCUGAAUCAGUAUGUGUGUUAGUGGAAGCGUCUGGAAAGGCGCGCGAUACAGGGUGACAGCCCCGUACACAAAAAUGCACAUGCUGUGAGCUCGAUGAGUAGGGCGGGACACGUGGUAUCCUGUCUGAAUAUGGGGGGACCAUCCUCCAAGGCUAAAUACUCCUGACUGACCGAUAGUGAACCAGUACCGUGAGGGAAAGGCGAAAAGAACCCCGGCGAGGGGAGUGAAAAAGAACCUGAAACCGUGUACGUACAAGCAGUGGGAGCACGCUUAGGCGUGUGACUGCGUACCUUUUGUAUAAUGGGUCAGCGACUUAUAUUCUGUAGCAAGGUUAACCGAAUAGGGGAGCCGAAGGGAAACCGAGUCUUAACUGGGCGUUAAGUUGCAGGGUAUAGACCCGAAACCCGGUGAUCUAGCCAUGGGCAGGUUGAAGGUUGGGUAACACUAACUGGAGGACCGAACCGACUAAUGUUGAAAAAUUAGCGGAUGACUUGUGGCUGGGGGUGAAAGGCCAAUCAAACCGGGAGAUAGCUGGUUCUCCCCGAAAGCUAUUUAGGUAGCGCCUCGUGAAUUCAUCUCCGGGGGUAGAGCACUGUUUCGGCAAGGGGGUCAUCCCGACUUACCAACCCGAUGCAAACUGCGAAUACCGGAGAAUGUUAUCACGGGAGACACACGGCGGGUGCUAACGUCCGUCGUGAAGAGGGAAACAACCCAGACCGCCAGCUAAGGUCCCAAAGUCAUGGUUAAGUGGGAAACGAUGUGGGAAGGCCCAGACAGCCAGGAUGUUGGCUUAGAAGCAGCCAUCAUUUAAAGAAAGCGUAAUAGCUCACUGGUCGAGUCGGCCUGCGCGGAAGAUGUAACGGGGCUAAACCAUGCACCGAAGCUGCGGCAGCGACGCUGAUGCGUUGUUGGGUAGGGGAGCGUUCUGUAAGCCUGUGAAGGUGUGCUGUGAGGCAUGCUGGAGGUAUCAGAAGUGCGAAUGCUGACAUAAGUAACGAUAAAGCGGGUGAAAAGCCCGCUCGCCGGAAGACCAAGGGUUCCUGUCCAACGUUAAUCGGGGCAGGGUGAGUCGACCCCUAAGGCGAGGCCGAAAGGCGUAGUCGAUGGGAAACAGGUUAAUAUUCCUGUACUUGGUGUUACUGCGAAGGGGGGACGGAGAAGGCUAUGUUGGCCGGGCGACGGUUGUCCCGGUUUAAGCGUGUAGGCUGGUUUUCCAGGCAAAUCCGGAAAAUCAAGGCUGAGGCGUGAUGACGAGGCACUACGGUGCUGAAGCAACAAAUGCCCUGCUUCCAGGAAAAGCCUCUAAGCAUCAGGUAACAUCAAAUCGUACCCCAAACCGACACAGGUGGUCAGGUAGAGAAUACCAAGGCGCUUGAGAGAACUCGGGUGAAGGAACUAGGCAAAAUGGUGCCGUAACUUCGGGAGAAGGCACGCUGAUAUGUAGGUGAAGUCCCUCGCGGAUGGAGCUGAAAUCAGUCGAAGAUACCAGCUGGCUGCAACUGUUUAUUAAAAACACAGCACUGUGCAAACACGAAAGUGGACGUAUACGGUGUGACGCCUGCCCGGUGCCGGAAGGUUAAUUGAUGGGGUUAGCGCAAGCGAAGCUCUUGAUCGAAGCCCCGGUAAACGGCGGCCGUAACUAUAACGGUCCUAAGGUAGCGAAAUUCCUUGUCGGGUAAGUUCCGACCUGCACGAAUGGCGUAAUGAUGGCCAGGCUGUCUCCACCCGAGACUCAGUGAAAUUGAACUCGCUGUGAAGAUGCAGUGUACCCGCGGCAAGACGGAAAGACCCCGUGAACCUUUACUAUAGCUUGACACUGAACAUUGAGCCUUGAUGUGUAGGAUAGGUGGGAGGCUUUGAAGUGUGGACGCCAGUCUGCAUGGAGCCGACCUUGAAAUACCACCCUUUAAUGUUUGAUGUUCUAACGUUGACCCGUAAUCCGGGUUGCGGACAGUGUCUGGUGGGUAGUUUGACUGGGGCGGUCUCCUCCUAAAGAGUAACGGAGGAGCACGAAGGUUGGCUAAUCCUGGUCGGACAUCAGGAGGUUAGUGCAAUGGCAUAAGCCAGCUUGACUGCGAGCGUGACGGCGCGAGCAGGUGCGAAAGCAGGUCAUAGUGAUCCGGUGGUUCUGAAUGGAAGGGCCAUCGCUCAACGGAUAAAAGGUACUCCGGGGAUAACAGGCUGAUACCGCCCAAGAGUUCAUAUCGACGGCGGUGUUUGGCACCUCGAUGUCGGCUCAUCACAUCCUGGGGCUGAAGUAGGUCCCAAGGGUAUGGCUGUUCGCCAUUUAAAGUGGUACGCGAGCUGGGUUUAGAACGUCGUGAGACAGUUCGGUCCCUAUCUGCCGUGGGCGCUGGAGAACUGAGGGGGGCUGCUCCUAGUACGAGAGGACCGGAGUGGACGCAUCACUGGUGUUCGGGUUGUCAUGCCAAUGGCACUGCCCGGUAGCUAAAUGCGGAAGAGAUAAGUGCUGAAAGCAUCUAAGCACGAAACUUGCCCCGAGAUGAGUUCUCCCUGACUCCUUGA